rnacentral:rRNA from 1 species
UACGAGGGGGGCAAGCGUUGUUCGGAAUUACUGGGCGUAAAGGGCUUGUAGGUGGCCAACUAAGUCAGACGUGAAAUCCCUCGGCUUAACCGGGGAACUGCGUCCGAUACUGGAUGGCUAGAGUUCGGGAGAGGGAUGCGGAAUUCCAGGUGUAGCGGUGAAAUGCGUAGAUAUCUGGAGGAACACCGGUGGCGAAGGCGGCAUCCUGGACCGACACUGACGCUGAGGAGCGAAAGCCAGGGGAGCAAACGGG